UCCCAGGAAGUAAGGCUGGUCCUGCUACUGUGUGGGUCCCGAGAGCUGGGACGGGAGACUGACUCUGACCUGGGGGACCCAUGACAUCGAAAGGGGCCUGAGGCUGCAGGCUAAGGUACAGGAAGGCCUCGUCUGAGAAAGCUUCCCUCAGGGUGACACUGAGACCAUGUCCUGUUGCCUUCGAGCCAACAUGUAGCAAUUCCUUCGCCAAUGCCAUGUCUGCCUGCACGCCACCACGCUCCCUGCCAUGAUGAGAAAUGGACUGAAUCUCUGAAACUUGAAGUGAGCCACCCCAAUUAAAUGUUUUGCUUAUAAGA